UUAAGAAGCAAGAAUGAUCAACCAAACAUAUGAAGGUUUAGGGCUUAGGUCUAUCAAUCAAUAGAACGUUCUGAAUUUUAUGAGUUUGAUUGCAAAAGUCUUAUGUUCUAAAUUUUUUGAGUAGCUUGAUUCAGAAUUUUGAUAUUUUGUAACAUGUAUUAUCUUAUUAAUGCUGAAUUUUGCAGAGGAGAGACUCUUCUAUCGAGGUCACGGAAGAAAAUCGUGAUGCUUCGCAGGAGGCUAAGGCGCAGGCUAUGGAAGCAAUUUCUGAAAGUAUUCUAAUUUCAUUACAUGUACAUACGCACACAUGUAUAUAUUGUAAACACAAGUUUUCAUAAUUUGAUUUUGAUGGCUUUAGGUUGAUUAGGGAAACUUGAGGAAGCAAUAGAGCAGCUUACAUAGGCUAUUUUGCUCAACCUAACCUCAGCAAUUAUAUAUUCAGGUUCUCUCAUCGUGAUUGCUUCAGCCGAAGUCUUCUUCGAAGAACGUUUUCACGGUUGUUGAGUUUGCCCUGGCUUUGCAAGAAAGCUGGGUGCUUUUCUGUUGUUCUGGAAUGUGUGCUUGCACUUGUUGCUGUUGCAACAACAUCUGCUCUUUGAAUCCCUACCAUUGGUAUUAGGGCAGGGCCUUUCUGUAGUGGCCAAGUUAAUUGAUUCUUUAGCUCUCUCUACUAUUCCUAAUAAUGAAUUAGACUUGACUGGCUUGUGUUGUGUAUAAUCUUUUUACUUUCAUUUGUACAUAUAAUUUGCUAUAUGAUCUUAAU